rnacentral:rRNA from 1 species
GUGGGGAAUCUUGGACAAUGGGCGCAAGCCUGAUCCAGCCAUGCCGCGUGAGUGAAGAAGGCCUUCGGGUUGUAAAGCUCUUUUACCAGGGACGAUAAUGACGGUACCUGGAGAAUAAGCCCCGGCAAACUUCGUGCCAGCAGCCGCGGUAAUACGAAGGGGGCUAGCGUUGUUCGGAAUUACUGGGCGUAAAGCGCACGUAGGCGGAUUGUUAAGUCAGAGGUGAAAUCCCGGAGCUCAACUUCGGAACUGCCUUUGAUACUGGCAAUCUAGAGUCCGGAAGAGGUUAGUGGAAUUCCCAGUGUAGAGGUGAAAUUCGUAGAUAUUGGGAAGAACACCAGUGGCGAAGGCGGCUAACUGGUCCGGUACUGACGCUGAGGUGCGAAAGCGUGGGGAGCAAACAGGAUUAGAAACCCUUGUAGUCC